rnacentral:rRNA from 1 species
AGUGAACGCUGGCGGCAGGCCUAAUACAUGCAAGUCGAACGGCAGCACAGCAGAGCUUGCUCUGUGGGUGGCGAGUGGCGGACGGGUGAGGAAUACAUGGGAAUCUGCCCAGUCGUGGGGGAUAACGUAUGGAAACGUACGCUAAUACCGCAUGCGCCCUACGGGGGAAAGCCGGGGACCGCAAGGCCUGGCGCGAUUGGAUGAGCCCAUGUUCGAUUAGCUAGUUGGCGGGGUAAAGGCCCACCAAGGCGACGAUCGAUAGCUGGUCUGAGAGGAUGAUCAGCCACACUGGAACUGAGACACGGUCCAGACUCCUACGGGAGGCAGCAGUAGGGAAUAUUGGACAAUGGGGGCAACCCUGAUCCAGCCAUGCCGCGUGAGUGAAGAAGGCCCUCGGGUUGUAAAGCUCUUUUGUCCGGAAAGAAAAGCAAUCGGUUAAUACCCGGUUGUUCUGACGGUACCGGAAGAAUAAGCA